ACUUCUUCCCCCGGUCGUGGUACACACACGGAAAAGAAUCUCUUUUUCAUCGCAGUAUAGAGGUGACCAACGGGAACUUGGCUUCCUAACUACUUGAAUUAAUAAGGAAAGCGAAAUCAAUCGGCGAGAGCUCUGUACCCCUUAACUAUGGAAAUUGCUUACAGUUACAGUAGCGGUAGCGACAAUCUUUCUACUUAUUAUUGAAGUCGAAAAAACCUCAGUCAAUACGCGAUGCCCCGCCGAUAGAAAGAUUCUUUUAGAAAAAGAUUAUAUCCUAUACGAAUUCUGGUCCUUGAGCCGGUAUGGGCGCUCGACACUCCAACGAUUCCCAUUCAUUCAUGAACUGCCUUGACGACAUGAUGAUUUUCUUUCUAUCAGAGCUAACUAGAGCGCUGCUUGGCCAAGCCGUCUUUUGACCCAUAUAGUUUAGUUGUUGGUGUAAGCGAGGCCAGACAGAUUGGACUUAACCCCUUCAAUCGUACUUGAGUUGCCCACCCUUUUUCAAGGAACUCUCUAGCACCUCAGCUCACCGUAUUUUACAUAGCCUUAAAAAAGGAAAUGGAGGGUCCCGAAUCACCUGUUGAUUUCCGUCCUAUUAGCUUUUGUAAUGUUGAUACAGUUGACGAAACAUUACAUGCUUUUAAACUUUUAUGCUUCAAUCGCCAUUUCGACACACACUCAGGUUUUGAAGCUUAAAGAUCGAUCUCUGGAGAUUGAUGAAAUGCCUAGUCGGAUAAGCAUUCAAUGUCGGAUAACUGUUUUCGAUGUAUUUGAAAGCACAUCCCAAUUACUAUAUAAAAAAAAAAAAAAAGCUUAGCUGCUAUGGUCUUCUUUGACCGGUACAUAAUAGCAUAGGAGCUUAAAACAUGAUAGCCAUUUGUGCUGUAGCAGAACGCCAUUGUUUAUAUUCGUUUUGAUCAGCACUUUAUUCCCUAAUCAAAUUAGGGGUCAUUGUCCAGCAAUGACCGGUGUGGGGAUUCUUCUCAUUCCAGCUCGCCAUCAGAGAAAGUACCCUAGAAAGGCUUUAAGCAGUGAAGGCUCGUUUAGUAGACAGCAUUACGGUGUCCUAUACCCGAUCUCACGAUUAGAAUGAGUUCUUGCUUCUUCUCUUGUCCACGGAGCGCUAACUAUCAAUAUCAUAAGAGAAGUAGGUCAGCUCUUAGCUAGUCUCAUCUCGGCUUCUUAGUUCUUAGCCUUCGGCUUCUCAUUGGACUGAUUCUUCUUUUCUCUAUACCUCGGUGAAAUAGGUAUAUUGGGUCUAUGCGGUGGUUAUAUAAAGAUUUCAGGCCUUUCUUGACCCCAAUGACUGAUUACCAAAUUGUGACCCUAAAGGUGGUUUAUAAGCUUCAAUCUCGGCCUCUUCAAGAAAAUUGGAGAAAGACCGCUCUUAGUCCUCAAAGCCAGAAUCUCUUCAUUCAAAGGCCUGGCCGUAAGCCAAGCAUUAAGAAAUAGGGGCGUAGCGAGAAUGAUUACCCUGAUCUCAGCUAAUAGAAUAUAACGAUCCCAACCAAAUAUGGGGAUUGGAUGAGGUUAGAAGUAGCCGAUCG
rnacentral:misc_RNA from 1 species